UACGGAGGGUGCAAGCGUUAUCCGGAUUCACUGGGUUUAAAGGGUGCGUAGGCGGCGCGGUAAGUCGGGUGUGAAAUCUCGGAGCUUAACUCCGAAACUGCAUUCGAUACUGCCGUGCUUGAGGACUGGAGAGGAGACUGGAAUUUACGGUGUAGCGGUGAAAUGCGUAGAUAUCGUAAGGAAGACCAAUGGCGAAGGCGGGUCUCUGGACAGUUCCUGACGCUGAGGCACGAAGGUCAGGGGAGCAAACGGG
rnacentral:rRNA from 1 species